rnacentral:miRNA from 1 species
CCCGCUCUGCCAGCCUGGUGAG